rnacentral:rRNA from 1 species
AACGAACGCUGGCGGCAUGCCUAACACAUGCAAGUCGAACGAGACCUUCGGGUCUAGUGGCGCACGGGUGCGUAACGCGUGGGAACCUGCCCUUAGGUUCGGAAUAACUCUCCGACAGGGGUGCUAAUACCGGAUAAUGUCUUCGGACCAAAGAUUUAUCGCCUUUGGUUGGGCCCGCGUUGGAUUAGCUAGUUGGUAGGGUAAAAGCCUACCAAGGCGACGAUCCAUAGCUGGUCUGAGAGGAUGAUCAGCCACACUGGGACUGAGACACGGCCCAGACUCCUACGGGAGGCAGCAGUGGGGAAUAUUGGACAAUGGGCGAAAGCCUGAUCCAGCAAUGCCGCGUGAGUGAUGAAGGCCUUAGGGUUGUAAAGCUCUUUUACCCGGGAUGAUAAUGACAGUACCGGGAGAAUAAGCUCCGGCUAACUCCGUG